rnacentral:rRNA from 1 species
GCGUUGUCCGGUAUUAUUGGGCGUAAAGGGCUCGUAGGCUGUCCAUCACGUCGGGAGUGAGAUGCUGGGGCUUAACCCCAGUCCUGCUUCCGAUACGGGUGGACUAGAGGUAGGCAGGGGAGAACGGAAUUCCUAGUGUAGCGGUGAAAUGCGCAGAUAUUAGGAGGAACACCGGUGGCGAAGGCGGUUCUCUGGGCCUUACCUGACGCUGAGGAGCGAAAGCGUG